AUAUGCAGCCAUACCACCUGCAGUUCAGACUAGGUAACAAAUCUGAUGCUAAUCGGGUUUGGCCCUGCCCAGUACUUGGAUGGGAGAUCAACUGGGAAUGCUGGGUUGCUGCUGAAA
rnacentral:rRNA from 1 species